rnacentral:misc_RNA from 1 species
UUUGCAUCUGACUGACAAGACCUUCCUCGGAGCCUGAGCCUCCAUGGUUUCUUGUUCUGUUUGAAGCUGCUGUAGCUCUGACCCCAUGGGGCACCCGAAUGAUGACACUGAUAAGCAUCUAAGGGGGAGCCUAACAAAACAGAACAAGAAGCUAUCUAGAUUGAAAUGCUCGGUGCACAAUUACGAUUGGGGCAUUGUUGGCAACAAUUCUCAGGUGGCAAGGCUCUUCGCCCUCAAUUCUGGCUCUGAUAUAGACCCUUAUAAGCCUUAUGCGGAGCUCUGGAUUGGAACCCACGAAUCUGGGCCGUCGUUCGUGGAUCAUGGCAAUGGAAGAUUGGAGUCAUUGAGUUUGAAAACGUGGAUCUCGGAUAAACCCAAUUUAGUUCUUGGAGAACGGUUAUUAAGAAGUGGGGCGGUGAUCUUCCUUUUUUGUUGAAGGUACUCUCGGCAGAGAAAGCGUUAUCCAUACAAGCCCAUCCAGAUAAAGAUCUGGCAAUGGUUCUCCACAACUCCCAAUCAAGUGUCUACAGGGAUGAUAAUCACAAGCCUGAAAUGGCAUUGGCACUCACUGAAUUUGAGGCUCUCCUUGGGUUUAUCAGUGUAAAGGUAAUAUGAUCUGAACUCCGUGCACAUUGUGGUGGUGUGGCUUAAUGAUGAAUGAUUAUCAAGUUCACUAGUGUAGAAUUGUCAAAUAUCGGUUCCUCUUGAUUUUAGUCAAUGCCAUGUGAUGGACUGGAUUACUUGGCACCCUAGUGGAUAGUUGAAAUGGGCUUAUGUCCGUAUUUUGAAUUACAAAAGCUAUGCAGUAUUUAUCAUCAUACUAGAUUAUGCCAAUUGAUUUGAGUGCAAGUUAUAACCAUUUUGCUAAAUCAUCAGAAAAGGAGGAUGAAAAAUGUAAUAUAGACACUGUGUAUGAUCAUGAAUAUUGCUUGCCGGAAGGAACUUUUAAUUUGGAAUUGAGAGUUGGGACCCCAGAGUGAAUGAAAAGGAGAGAGCUUUCAACUUCUAAGCUUCUGCUGGUUUCCACAGAAAAUAUAAAACAUGCCAUUGUUAGGCUUAGACCAUAGAAAUGGACGAGAUUCUUGCAACUUAAUCCUCAGAUGCACCAUGCAAUUUAGAAAACAAAUAUAGAGAAUAGUAAUAACAUAAGUAGCAGAUGAUGACAAGGAAAAAAGAGAAGAAAUUUAUUUUCAAAAUCCUCUGAUUUUUAUGCACCAUAAGAUUUGUUAGUACUUACAUUUCGCAGGAGCUUAUGGAUGUGCUAUGUAGUGUUCCUGAGAUAGUAGAAUUGAUUGGGAGUGGAAAUGCAAAGCAGUUUUUGCUUGUCAAUGAGCAAGACAGGGAUAAGAACGCAAAAGCAGUUCUGCAAUCCAUUUUCAGUCAACUUGUGUUGGCAAGUAGAGAUAAAAUUGGUGCAAUGAUCUCUAACAUAAAAAGCCGUUUGCUUCUGGAAAUGCAGAAAAGGAAGUUGACAGAUAAAGAGCAGUUGGUGCUGAGACUAGAGAGUCAAUGCCCUGCUGAUGCAGGUGUGAUUGCUGCAUUUCUAUUGAGCUAUGUGAAGCUGAACCAUGGUGAAGCAUUGUAUCUAGGGGGAAAUGAACCUCAUGCAUAUAUUUGUGGUGAAUAUAUCGAGUGUAUGGCAAAUUCAGAUAAUGUUGUUCGUGCUGGCCUUACCUCCAAACACAGGGAUAUCCAAACACUUCUUUCUAUGCUCAAAUAUACACAGGGUUUUCCUGAAAUAUUGCGAGGUGUUUCAUUGAAUCCAUACACAACAAGGUAUCUCCCACCCCUGGAUGAAUUUGAAAUUGACCUCUCUAUUCUUCCACAGGCAACAUCAGUAGUCUUUCCCUCAGUCCCAGGACCAUCUCUUUUUUUGUUCAUUAAGGGGAAAGGAGCAAUUACUGCAGGAAUUUCUGAAAAUGAUAAUGUUGAAGAGGGUGAAGUUCUCUUUGUGCCUGCUCAUACAGAGAUAAGGAUAACAGCUGAAUCAACUGAGUUGCACUUGUAUAGAGCUGGAGUGAACAGCAGAUUCUUUACCAUACCAUGAUUAGUGAUUGUUUCUUGAUACCAAUGUUAAUUAGUUUGGAAUUAAGAAUUGACUGUUGUUAUUUUUUAAAAAGGAAUAGAUAUAUUUGCCCCA